rnacentral:lncRNA from 1 species
AUGAGCAAAUGGAUAUCCGAGACCAUCCAUUACGGUCACACACUCCAUUUUCAUUCCACUCCUCCUCCCUUCAACGGGAUCGUGGAGAUGGAACUCACAUCACAGGAACAAUCUCAGGCCCUAGAGCUGGAGCUACGGGACCUUCUGUCCAAAGAUGCCAUUUCCCAAGUUCAUCGCGGGCAACAACACUCAGGCUUCUACUCCCACUACUUCGUAGUACCGAAGAAGUUGGGAGGAAUGAGACCAAUACUCGACCUUUCCCUCUUCAACUGCUCCAUAGCAGUGAUGCAUUUCCACAUGUUAACAAUGAGGCAAGUCCUAGAAUGCGUGUGCUCCGGGGACUGGUUCACGUCGAUAGACCUGAAAGACACAUACUUCCACAUCCCAGUAAUUCCCAAACACCGGAAGUUCCUGCACUUUUCAUUCAAGGUAGUUCAAUACCAGUUCAAUCGUCUCCCUUUCGGCUACUCACUUUACCCACGCACAUUUUCCAAAUGUCUGGAGACAGCUCUCCAGCCAUUAUGCACAGUGGGAAUGAGGUUUCUAUUUUACCUAGGCGAUCUGCUCCUAUUCGCCCGGUCCAAGGACGAGGCGUCAGAGCCAACCAGGAAGUUGAUAGAGCACCUGUCAACCCUGGGGUUUUCCAUAAACUGGGAAAAGAGCUCCAUCUUUCCAUCCCAGAUAAUUGUGUUUCUUGGGGUGGAGCUGAACGCCUCCAUAAUGAGAGCACGUCUAUCUCAGGCGAGAGCGGCAGAUCUCACCACUGCGAUCUCCCACGUGCAACCCCGCAAAAUCGUGAGAGCCCUAUUAGUUAUGAAACUUCUGGGCAUGAUGGCUGACACCCACGCUGUGGUGCUGUUAGGAUUACUACACAUGAAAAGCCUCCAGCUUUGGUUCAUCUGCCUCCGGGUGCACCCGAUACGUCAGAAGAGACGUAUGUUGAGGAUUCCCCCUUCAGUGGGCGGGAAUCUCUCACACGGGUCCCCAUCGGAUGUGCUACGUCAUACGUCUCUGUGUUUACGGAUGUGUCACCGUCGGGAUGGGGAGGCACGUGCUUACCCCAUACGGUAG